rnacentral:rRNA from 1 species
GUUCUUGAAGGUGGGGUGUUGUCUUUUUGUUGCCCUCUGCUUUUCAAGGGCUGAGAUAGCAACAUAUGACACACCUGCUUUUCAAGAUUAUUCAUGUCCUUCAACACCCUGUGCAUUAUAAGCGAAGCUUUAUUCUCCUGCCUGCAAGUCAGCUAUUAUUGUGAUUUGGCAUGUAUUUGUUAUGUGAGCCCUGUCAUAUAUUGACCAGCUUGAGAAGAUAUUGAUUGUCCUCCAAGCAAAAAUGGGGAGUAGUGUGUAUGGGGUUUGCAAAUGGUGUAUGGCAAUAUAUUCACAAAGAUGACUCAGGAAAAUAGUGGCUUUGUCUUCAUAUAAGCUCCUUGUAAUUUGUCUUGUAGCAUGAAGUAGCUCAAUUGUGAGCAGAAAAAUGCAUAUACAACUUUCAACAAUGGAUCUCUUGGCUCUCGCAUCGAUGAAGAACGCAGCGAAAUGCGAUAAGUAAUGUGAAUUGCAGAAUUCAGUGAAUCAUCGAAUCUUUGAACACACCUUGUGCUCCUUGGGUCACCUAUGGAGCAUGCCUGUUUGAGUGUCAUAUUGAUCUCAAUUCCCUUCAAGCCUUUCUUUGUAUAAAUGAGAAAAGCCUGUUUAGGAUAAUUGGAUUUGGGGGUUUUCAUGCAGGUUCCCUUUUGUAGGGAAUCAGCUCCCCUUAAAAAUAUUAGCAGAGGAUGAAGCAGAAAUAGCUCUUAGCAUUGUUCCAUUGGCUAUGGUGUGAUAAUUGUUUCAUCAUGGCAUUCAUGAAUGAUUCAGUGCAAAUGGGGAAGUGCAAGCCCCNNGAGACUUUAUNGUAGUNUUCUCUCUNUGCUUCUAUUUGUCAGAUCUAUCUGGCAANUCAUAUGUUCUUUUNGGCCUCAAAUCAGGUAGGACUACCCGCUGAACUUAAGCAUAUCAUUAAGCGGAGGAAAAGAAACUAACAAGGAUUCCCCUAGUAACUGCGAGUGAAGCGGGAAGAGCUCAAAUUUAAAAUCUGGCAGCUCUGCUGUCCGAGUUGUAAUCUGUAGAAGCAUUUUCUGCAUUGGACUGUGUACAAGUCUCUUGGAAUAGAGCGUCAUAGAGGGUGAGAAUCCCGUCCAUGACACAGACUACCAAUGCUUUGUGAUAUGCUCUCAAAGAGUCGAGUUGUUUGGGAAUGCAGCUCAAAAUGGGUGGUAAAUUCCAUCUAAAGCUAAAUACAGGCGAGAGACCGAUAGCGAACAAGUACCGUGAGGGAAAGAUGAAAAGCACUUUGGAAAGAGAGUUAAACAGUACGUGAAAUUGUUGAAAGGGAAACGCUUGAAGUCAGUCACAUUCUGCAGAACUCAGCCUUGCCUUAUUAGGCCUGGUGUAUUUCCUGCAGGAUGGGUCAACAUCAAUUUUGGUCAGUGGAUAAAGGGGGAGGGAAUGUGGCACCUAUGAAGGUGUGUUUAUAGCCCUCUUUCAUAUACAUUGGCUAGGAUUGAGGACUGCAGCAUGCCCUUGUGGCCAGGCUUUUCAUGUCACAUGCUUAGGAUGUUGACAAAAUGGCUUUAAGCGACCCGUCUUGAAACACGGACCAAGGAGUCUAACAUGCCUGCAAGUGUUUGGGUGGAAAACCCUUGCGCAUAAUGAAAGUGAAAAGUUGGGAACCUCCGCAAGGGGGUGCACUGACACCCGGCCCUGAUGUUUACUGACGGUGCUGCGGUAGAGCAUGUAUGUUGGGACCCGAAAGAUGGUGAACUAUGCCUGAAUAGGGUGAAGCCAGAGGAAACUCUGGUGGAGGCUCGUAGCGAUUCUGACGUGCAAAUCGAUCG